UGAAUGUAUAGAAUUAAGACGAGGCCAGACAAGGUGGCGCACGACUGUACUCCCAGCUACUCAGGAGGAUGAGAUAAGAAAAUCCCUCGAACCCAAGUCAGGAAUUUAGGCCAGCAUGAGUAACAUAGUGAGACUUUUUUAUUUAAAAAAAAGAAAGAGGUAAAUGUUCCCUUUGAGUUGUGUGAAAUCAACUUUGCAUAAAAUAAAUCAAGAUGGCAAUACAUUUCAAAAGAGAGGCCUAUUUUAUAGACAAAAUAUAAGAUGUAUUCUGGAGUUAAAAAAUUUUUU